rnacentral:rRNA from 1 species
AACGUAGGAGACAAACGUUAUCCGGAGUUACUGGGCGUAAAGGGCGUGUAGGUGGUAGAGUAAGUCUGGCGUGAAAUUUUUCGGCUUAACCGGAAAAGGUCGUCGGAUACUGCUUAACUAGAGGACGGUAGAGGCGUGUGGAAUUCCGGGUGUAGUGGUGAAAUGCGUAGAGAUCCGGAGGAACACCAGUGGCGAAGGCGACACGCUGGGCCGUACCUGACACUGAUGCGCGACAGCAUGGGGAGCAAACAGG